rnacentral:rRNA from 1 species
UUCGUAGGCGGUGCGGCAAGUCGGGAGUGAAAUCUAUGGGCUCAACCCAUAGGCUGCUUCCGAAACUGCCGUGCUGGAGUGUGGGAGAGGCGCGUGGAAUUGCAGGUGUAGCGGUGAAAUGCGUAGAUAUUUGCAGGAACACCCGUGGCGAAAGCGGCGCGCUGGACCACUACUGACGCUGAGGAACGAAAGCUAGGGGAGCAAACAGGGAUUAGAUACCCUGGUAGUCCCUAGCCCUAAACGAUCAGGACUUGGGGUGCCGCCCGUUCGGGCGUCGUCCCGGAGCUAACGCGUUAAGUCCUGCACCUGGGGAGUACGGUCGCAAGACUGAA